UACGGGGGGGGCAAGCGUUGUUCGGAAUUACUGGGCGUAAAGGGCCAGUAGGCGGCCAACUAAGUCGGACGUGAAAUCCCCAGGCUCAACCUGGGAACUGCGUCCGAUACUGGAUGGCUUGAAUUCGGGAGAGGGAUGCAGAAUUCCAGGUGUAGCGGUGAAAUGCGUAGAUAUCUGGAGGAAUACCGGUGGCGAAGGCGGCAUCCUGGACCGACAUUGAUGCUGAACGGCGAAAGCUAGGGGAGCAAACGGG
rnacentral:rRNA from 1 species